GCCGGAAGUUACUGCUGUGGCGGCGCCUCCUCCUCCGGCCACCAUGGCUCAAGAUUCUUGGGGGGUUUUGCUUGUCUCAGUCCCAGCAACAUUCCCACAAAAGGAAUCGAGCCAAAUCGAAGUGUGACUGACGAAACGAGUGAGGAAAUUACUUUCAGGGUCGUGGAAGUUGCACGCAGGAAAGAAGUGGAUAACUCCGCAGGUGUGGAUUAGCGGGAAUUGACGGACCACUCAGAGGACUUGAAGUUAUUUAUCUCCAGCUUAUGUGAGGAUUUUGUGUGACUAUCUUGUG